GUUAAGCGACUAAGCGUACACGGUGGAUGCCCUGGCAGUCAGAGGCGAUGAAGGGCGUGCUAAUCUGCGAUAAGCGCCGGUAAGGUGAUAUGAACCGUUAUAACCGGCGAUACCCGAAUGGGGAAACCCAGUGUGAUUCGUCACACUAUCAUUAACUGAAUCCAUAGGUUAAUGAGGCGAACCGGGGGAACUGAAACAUCUAAGUACCCCGAGGAAAAGAAAUCAACCGAGAUUCCCCCAGUAGCGGCGAGCGAACGGGGAGGAGCCCAGAGCCUGAAUCAGCAUGUGUGUUAGUGGAAGCGUCUGGAAAGGCGCGCGAUACAGGGUGACAGCCCCGUACACAAAAGCGCAUGUGCUGUGAGCUCGAUGAGUAGGGCGGGACACGUGGUAUCCUGUCUGAAUAUGGGGGGACCAUCCUCCAAGGCUAAAUACUCCUGACUGACCGAUAGUGAACCAGUACCGUGAGGGAAAGGCGAAAAGAACCCCGGCGAGGGGAGUGAAAAAGAACCUGAAACCGUGUACGUACAAGCAGUGGGAGCCCCACCACUAAGCCAGUGGUGAACUCCACAUACGCAUCCUUUGCUGAGGAUACGGUUAACGGAGCGAAAGCGACGUUCAACCGCAAAAGAAGCAGAGGGGGC
rnacentral:rRNA from 1 species